UUCAAAAGUUCGCUCUCUCUCUACACUCUUCUCUCCUUCUCCCUUAUCAGUCCGAAUCAAAGAACUCGAUGGCAUUUCUCUAAGGGUCAAUCCAUUUUUCCUUGGAACAUCUGCAUUUGAAACUUUCUUCAGGAUUUUGUUUUUUAGGAGGAAUAAUCUUAUGAAGAUAUCAAUGUAAGGAAGAAGACCGCUUACAGUGAUUGACAAUUUUUCACGACAUUUGGCUUUGACUUCUCACAAUACAGGUAAAACUAAAACCAAAAGUGCCUAUGCUCUUUGUUUAUGCCAGUUUCAAAUUACUGAUAGCAUUUGAGUUGCUUAUUGGAGGGGGGGCAUAGUCAAUUUUAUUGGACUGAUGAGGAAGCUUGGUCAAUAUAUUUAAUUUUCAGAGGGUUUUUUUUUGGGCAAUCUCUACUUUGAUCAAAAGCACUCUUUCUUGCCUUCCAAUUGACCGUCCGGCAGUUUUUCCUAUCCCUAGGGGGUAAGGUUGAGGCUGGUUGAAGUCGCUGCACAUUACUGAAGAAGACCCAACUUGUGAGGUAGCCAUUUGUUUGUUUGGAUAAAAGAAAGGGAGGUUUAGUUAAUUAUCAUAAGAUUAUUUGAGCUUAAUUAGGCUUUACUUGGGAGAUCAGAGAUGAUUUUGGAGAUUUGCAGAGGAGUGAGGCCUUUUGUGGAGGGGAGUUAUUCAAGGCAAAUUUGGGAAAGAGGAAGGCAGUUGGAUCUCAAAGGAAGGAAGAGAGGGGUUAGGUAUGAGCCUUUGGAAGGCAUCAGAAGAGGAUAGGAUGCUUUCAAAUCUUGUACGAACAUUGCUAUUGGUGAUGGUGCUAGGACAAAAUUCUGGUUUGAUACUUGGUGUGGAGUUUACCAUUUGAAGGACUCUUUCCCAUUUUUUGUUUGGCAUUUCCCCUCAUAGAGAGGUGGAGGUCACUGAUUUUUGGGAAGGAGGAUAUAGUCAUUGUUGGUUAGUUCUUUGCUAUUGGAGAAAUUUCUUUGACCAGGAAAUGAAGUAAGUUCAGGAUUUUCUUCAGCUUAUCCAUUCUGUUGUUUUAAGGAGUGUUUGCUUGGAUUAGUUAGGAGGAAGUUAGCAAACAACAAAAAAUGCUCAGUUAAAUCUUUAUAUAGUUUAUUGACUUUGAGAGAGCAGUCCUGUGAAGGAGAUUUGGGUAACACUGUCAUCUACCAAAUCCAGUUUUUUGGCUAGGGAAUUGGCUUGGGAGAAGAUUUUCACUUCAGCUUAAGAAAUGAUGAUGGCCUUUAGCUAGUUGCUGUUUUCCAUGGAAGCAGGACGAGACAUUGGCUAAUCAUAUUUUCGUUCACUAUGGUAUAAUUAGCAAUUUAUGGUGUCUGGUAUUUCUCUGUUCGGCAUUUUAUGGAUGCUUCCUUUGACAGUUAAGGAGUUGUUAUUAGGAUGGCUUGGGAGAUUUGUUGGGAAGCAAAGGAAAAAAUUUUGGUGGCUGGCUCCUUUAUGCUUGAUAUUGUUUUUAUGGAAAGAGUAUAAUAGAAAAUGUUUUAAGAAAAUGGAGAACAUAGAGUUGAUGCUGAAAACUCUUUGUCAAUUAUUUGUAGUCUUGGUUACUGUGAUCCCUGAUCAUAACUCAACAACAUUAUUGAUUUUGUUGAUUUUAUUAGGAGUUAAUGUCUUGUUAUUUUCUUGCCUUUGGCACUCUUUGUCUACAUCCCAUAAACUUAGGUUACGCCUGCUUUUGUUAGGUGCCUUUAUUUCAACAUUUCUUUGCUUUGACAAAAAAGAUGAUUGGAGCUUCUGUAGUGGUUGAGCUUGAAACUUUGACGCUCCGACUGCACCCUGUUCCUUGAUGCUGCUCUGUUCCCCUUACUCAAGGAGCAGAUGAAGCAGAUAUAUAAAAAAUUUAGUAAAAGGAUCUUAGCAGCUUAAUUCAAAAUGCAUCUUGAGGCCACUUAUUUUUCUGUGUGUUUUAACCAUUGCACUCAUCAGUUGUCAAUUAAAUCCAAGGUAGAGCCUUGUGGAGGUACUGACACUAGAAUUUGGAUUAUCCAACUCCAUUAUUUUUUGCUCUCUGGUACUUUGAAACAGGCAUUAUACAAAAUAUAUUACAUGUGA